rnacentral:lncRNA from 1 species
AGAGCCCUUACUGCAAAGUCUUCUGGGAUCAGAAGAGCCCUUAUCAAUCAUUCAGCCUCCACACUGUAGAACUCUUAGUCUCAGAUCCCAGAAUUACUGAACCUUCUAGGAAACAUAGCAGACAGCCAAAUCAAAUGCCCUCAUUUUUCAGCUGAUACACUGCAGUCAUGUAGACAAAAAGGCUGAUCCCAUCACAACAGUGACAGAGAUCCCGGAGUCCACUUUUUUCCCAGGCAGAGCCCUCAGCCUUAGGUCACCAGCCUCCAUCACCACCAAUAUCAUUCUAGUGACUAAAUGUACUUUAUCACUGGGAUGUUCUUACACAGAGCUAAACUAAGUUAUCUAGGAUCAAGUUCAAUGUCAUUUCUUCUCAUUCAAUCCUCAAGUGGAGAGAGCAAAAUGCUGGCUGCCUUCUCUUAAAAAAAUCUAUAUACCAAAUGAUGUUUUUUUCAUAGGACUUCAGAUAAGAAGAAAUCUCAAGAGAUUAUCUUAUCUACCUUGCAACUGGGCAUUACUAAACAGAGAACAAAACAGCUAGAAACCUCCUCCAUAACUACGGAUUUCCAAGAAAGGCAAUGUUUUGGCAAAUUUAGGACACAGAAGUGUUUGAGCUCAUUUACCAAUAAAUGUAGGCAAAAUAUAAUCUCCCUAUGCAAUCGGAUUCGUUAACCACUGCGCCACGAUGGGAACUCACGUAUCUUCUACUCUUGCUCUUUCAGUUCCUCUGACUGAUCUGGACUCCACGUUGCUGGCUUUCCAGAUAAGUCCAUUGGCACCAUCAAUACAGAGUGGCCUUCUGAGCUAUGCUGCUAACAAAUGCAUCCCAACUAGAUCCUUCCCACUAUAUGUCAUGUUACUGUCUUGCUUCCAGUUACUGGUGCUAUAUUUGUUUUUCUACUGUACGUUUUAAAAUAACUUGGAAAAUUAUAGUAGCAAUACAAGUUCAUUACAAAAUAUUCAAAUGAACAGAAGGAAGAAAAUAUUCAUUAUAAUACCUGAAAGGUUCAUAACUGUUUCCAAACACUUUUCCUACUUACACUGUUUUUACAAAAAUGUAAUUAUAGGAUCUACAACAUUGGAUAAUCUUCUGUUUUCAUGAAGGAAACUAAAUGAAUAUCUUUUUGUCAAUAAUUAUUCACUUAGAAUAUUAUUUUCAAUGGUUGCCUAAUAGCCAUCUCCAUAUUGAUAAAUGUUUAGUUGUUUUGAAUAUUCUGCUAUUAUAAACUAUGUUACAAUGAUACUUGUAGCUCUUCAAUGGCUACUGUGUUAUCAUGAUUGACUGAUGACUUACCUUCCUAGACCUAGAAGAAGCAAUGGAUUCUGAUGUUUACAAAGCCUGUCACUGCAGCUUACCAGGAUGUAGGCCAAGAUAUAUUACUUUCAUAUCCAAAUGCUUUGAAAGAAACACUGCUGUCCACUGAUAUUAUAUAUGUAUAUGUGUGUGUAUACGUAUAUAUAUGUAUAUGUGUGUGUGUGUGUGUAUAUAUAUAUACGGAUAUACACACAUAUUUGUUGCUAUUUGCUCACUAUUUGGGGGUGGGAAUGGGGUGGAAGAAACCCAGUCUUAUGUUCUUCACCUGUUACUAUUUAAAAUUGACAUUUCGUUUUUUCAAGUUACUGCCAGUUCCUGAUCACCUAUUAGUUUAUUCUUUUCUUCCAAAAAAUUGUCACAUUUACUUAUUCAGGGCAUGGGACUGGGGUGGGGCAGAAAUGCGUUCAAGUGGGUCCUGUUUUUGCUGUGGUGGGAACAUAUGAUGCAGGCCUGGAACCUGCAGGUCCCUUUUUACUGUGAUGUUGAAGCAGGACAACAAUAAUGCCCACUAGAAGUGUGAAUAUAUGUAGGUGUUCAUAUACAUAUAUGUGUGUGUAUAUGCACAUACACAUAUAUAUUCACAUACAUACAUAUGGAAAAUAUACUACAUACAAAAAUACUAUGUAUAUAUUUGGCAAAAGAUUUUAAAAACUGACUUUUGAAAACGAAAUGUGGCAUGUGGAGGUACGAACAGCUAAAAGCCCCAGUGACAGAGCAUCUCUCAGAAUCAUCAGUUGGGAUCAGCUACUACUAAGGAAGUCCACCCCUCUUUGCUGAAGAGUCCACAGGUGUAAAAGAAGAAGGAACAGGCAAGGCAGCAGAAGCAUAACUUCAUUCCCUUUUAUUGGGCUUGGCCAGAGGGGCCGAUUCCCUAACAGCCUCAGCUCCCAAUAGGGGAAGGCAAACUGUAGCCAGCAAGACACCCUGAGGAAACCAAGGGUGCAACUGACUGACAUGGCUUCUGGGAGGCCCUGCCUGCCUCCCCUUCUUCACAUCCCACACCCUGGGAUCAAGGUCAGGGAACAAUAGGUGCAGCACUUGCCAGACAGGUUGUGUCCCCUAGGACCCUGCCCCAGGUCAAGGCCACUCUAGAAUGAGUUCUGAGAACCCCUGGAGGAGAAGUUGGCUGAAGGAAUUUUACUCAGGUCUGAAAUGGCCCAGUCUCUAGAGGUCUGGAUCCAAAAAAUAAAAAAACUCCAACUAUUUGUUUCUCACCAGAAUGAAAAACCAUUUAAAUGCUCCCUAGGGGCCAUAAAUUAUUAUGUUUCCAAAAAUGCUAUGCUGUGGGAAACACUAAUAUUAAAUAAAUAGCCCCUCUCUCUUUUACCAAGGACAUGUGAAAAACAAAACUACCGAUAAAGAAUUGAGAUACUGUUUUAAGUGGGUAAAACUGACAAAAUGAAACCACCAUUUUUUUCUAAGUUCCGUAGCCAGUUACCAACCUUUGUCACUUAGUCUUGCAUUUAAUAAACACGUGCCUUACUUUAAAGGAGAACAUGGUCAGAGGCUGAAGGCAGAUCCUAGACCUGACCUAUGAGGGUGGAUUAUCGAGGAAUGGACUCAUCCAGCCAAGAUGAAGAAAAGCAAUCAGACAGGCCUAUCUGAGAAUUCACCGAGGAAGUUAGAAGCCAGUCACAACGUCCCUGGCAAGACAGCAAAUUCACUGAAAAUCGAACCACACAUUCACUGGAUUCUUCUUUCUCCAUCAUUGGUUUUCUCUUGGCCUCUGAAAACUUUCAUGGGUCAGAUGGGGAGGAGCAGGGAGAAGGAGAGGCAGGCAGGGAGGGAGGAAAUGAGAGGGUUUUCCUGCUGGAGAUCUCAGUGGGUGUCUGAACUGCCUCCUCCAGGGUGAGAAUGGAGUGGGAGGGCCAGGGCGGCCUGAGAGAAGAGGUGCCAGUUUCUUGUAAGAAGCAGGGAGAGAGGAGGGCUCUUCUCAGCAAACCGGGAGAGAUUUUGGUAGUGAUGUCAGAAACAGAGCAUCUGCCUUCUUAGGACUUUGCCAACUGGCAGAGGGGAUGUGGUUCAGAGUGCCAAUUCUCUCUGUAAGGAGAGGCAGGAAAUGGGCAGGGAACACUCAACUCAGUGGGAAUGGCCACCUUUGAAUGACAGGAGAGAGCACAGAGCGGGGCAGAACACAGUAUCUUGUUCCCCUUUGUGAGGAAGACAUCCAUAUUUCAUAUCUGCAUGGUGUUUCAGUUUACACAAUACAGAGAGCAUCACACUGAAGCCUCACUGUGAUUUGUGACAUGGGCUCAACCAUUGUUACUUCCAGGUGAGGAAAUUAACACCGAGAAAUAAAUGAUCCACUUGAUUGCAGGUCUUCUAAUGUUCUUUCUGCAAGAUUUGAGCAGCUUCUCUGGGACAUGUCCACACAAAAUGAGUACAGUUAGAAGGGCCUUUUAAACAGUCAUGUAUUCAUAAGAUGCUAUUACUACUAUUAGCAUUGGUACUGGGUCAGUUCAUACCUAGAAGAAGCCUUCUUUCUGAGGGUAGAAGGAAAGAAGACAAACUGAGCUUAGAAAGAAAAGUAAGGUAUUUCCCUGGAUACCACAACAUCAAAGCCCUAACUCAUCCACUGGCCACCAGGAGGGCCCCCUUUAACCUCUAAACCGCAGUUCUCCCAAGAGCUAGAUCUCAACCUGUCUUAGCUUCUAAAUCAUCUUGAUUUGCUGUCUCCCCAAAUUCGACCUCCAUGUAUAGUAGGCCCUCUUUAUGAAGGCCGUAGGUAAGUGCCAAUUCUGCAGCAGCAUCAAAUAAAUGGCGUACACUAUUAAAUCUGAGCUUCUCAAAAGAAUCCAAAUAUAGUAUUGAUUUUGGCAGGUGUUGGAAUAUCUGUUUCAAUAAAUAAAUAUUUAUUUGGUUUGGGGGUCCUCCUUUAACUUCAUACUGCCCCAGAAAAUACUGCAUUUGCUGUUUAAUCAGGCCCUGAUUGGGCUUCUGGGUUCAGGCAGUUUUUGCCACACUGUAGAGACUGCAGACAAUAUGACAUCACCUAUAGGUUGCUGGACAAGAAGGACAAGUGUGAUUCAGUCUCUAACCCCUGGUGGCAUGCUAGGAAACCCUACUUGCGGUUAUCCUUGAGCACCUUUUAUCUGCUUUAUGAUUUAUGUAUAGUAUCAUUAACCCUCACAAUAAUGGGUAUGGUGGGGACAGAUGAGAAAUGAAAGCCUGCUAACUUGCUUUCUUUCCCUACAAGGUGAACACACCGCACAGUCUUAAAGGUUCAAUUCCAUGUGCAACUCUGCAAUCUGAAAUGAGGGCCCACAUUUCCCACUGCUGAAGGGUCACACUGUUAACAGAUUCCUUAUUGCUCCUAAAACCAAAAGCACAGCUUAAAGCUACCCUACUAUAAACUAUGUAUAGUCACUGACUAAUAAUUAUACUUAUCCCCAGUCUAUAUUUGUUAAUGAAAUUUAGCAAUUUCAUUUAAUAAGAAAAUCCUGUUCUUAGUUGUAUUCAGUGAACACAGUUGUAUUUAAUGCAGAAUUUCGGGUUAAAAAUUCCUACAAAUUUGAAUGGAAUCACAGCAUUUGAUGCUUAAUUUUGGUAUUUUCUGGUUUUCAAUGUAUGUUUCAAAUUGUGGAGUCAACAACCUUCUGGUAGCCUGACUUUGAGUUGGCUUUCCAUCCAUUCCAGGAGCCUUCCCUCUAGUCUGUUCUAUUGCAUGCACAAACAUCCUUCAGGAACUGCUUUAAAUUCAAAAUCCUGCUUUCUAACCUCAGUCUCCUUUCUGACUGUUCUUAUCUAUCUUUUUUAUUGACUUCCGAUCAGUUGCCCAGCUCUAGAGAUUCUUAGUAAACCAAGUCUCCCAGGCAUAUUUCUUCUUUCCAUUCUGCCUUCCUUCAAUGUUCAAGUUCUUGCCCGAUUCAAUUAACAAACCUAUGCUGAAGAUGCAUCAGACUAACGUUCACAGAACGUGAAUAUAAUUUUAAACUCCUGCUCAAAGAGCUCAACCACUUGCCCUCUGAAUAUUAAAAAUCUACUUAACCUCAUAUUCGAGGCUUUUGAAAAGUUUAAGCCAAUUAUCUUUCGCAAGUAUUAUCUUCUAAACACCACCUAUUUUCAGGAUCCUAUGCCUUAGAUAAAGUGUAUCAGCACCAUGCUGCAAGUUUCCCUGCUUCUAUGUCUUUGAUCAUGCUAUUUCUGAUUCCUGAAUAGCUCUGCUCAACCUGAAUUGUUAGAAUUUCACCCACACCUUUCAGGGUUUAAAUCUCCACAUUAUGUUUUUCCUCUGUGAUAUUUUCAUCAUAAUUCUUCGUAUCAAAGAUAUUCAUAUACUUUUCUCCCCCCAUACUAAAUUUAACAUUGUAUUCAUUUUAAUGUCUAGUAAAACUCCUUCAUAGUAUAAAAACUCAGUUUUGAAUGAAUGGGCUAGUUAAAAAAGUUGAAUUCUUAAUAUCUAUAUCCUUAAACAUUAAAUGAAAAAUAUUCCCUGAAGCCAAAGCAGAUUCUACUUACAAUUAGCGUAAGUUUUCACCAACUGACUUCUAUAUUCUAUAUUUAUGAAAAACUACCUUAUCUAUUUCUAUAUAUUGAUAAAAUACUUUGUGUAUGUGGUCAUUGUGCUGUUUAAUUCAUUACAAUUUUUGUGUGAAAUUUUUGAAUCUUUGUUGAGUUUAUGAGUCACUCUUAAAUACUAGUCAGUGGUCAUUAAAAAAUUAUAUGCAGUUAGAUAUUAAAACAUAUAUGCAGUGGCUCCACAUCUGAAUUUCUACGUGUACAAUUCUAGACUUUAAUUGAUUAAAACAUAGGUGCUAAACAGAACUUCAAAUUUCACUUUGACUUUCAUCAUGACCCAAACUAGUAUUCAUUUUGCCUUAUUAUGGCCACGCCGUUUCUUGUGCUAAAGAAAAGCUAUCUUCACAUCACCCUGCAGAACUUUCGUCCUAUCUUUUCUACCAUAGGAAAGUGGCGGGGCGGACUUUCAAGUAUUGUUCUGGAGUCAUUGUUCAGCCAGUCACCUUGACUAUACCAUCAUUAUUUGUUCCUUUAACUUUGUGCUCAAGUAAAUUGCCUCUCUCAGAUUAAAGCCUUUGCUGUUAGCUACUGACACAACUGCACCACUUGAUUUUUAUUUGUCAUCCAUUGCUCCAGCUCUGAGUCACUGUUAACAAAAUUAAAGCCAUGAAUUUCUCUUCUAAUAGGGCAUUUGUGCCUUUCAUAAACGGCCCUCAAAUGUAAGAGAUAUAGGUUCUAGCCACAAUAAACAUCCACAUGAAAUCACUUUGGAACAUAAAUUUAGAUUUAAAUUGGUAGUUAAAGUUAAUCCUCACUGAAUAGGAACUAUUAAAAAUAAGGAAGCUUGAAAAAUACCAAGCAAUUUGGCAUUAUUUAGUAUGGCAUGCUAAUUCUCUU